CGUUCUGCAACUCGUCGUUCGCCGUUGACUGCCAAGCCGCCCGCGCUCGUGCGCCGCCAGAUCUGCUCUCGCCUAGCCAACCUUUCGACCGCGAAGCCACACCAUACCGCCACUUCUCCGUCCGGCCAGCUGUCGGUCCGAUCUCUGUCACACACCGCUCAGCCCCUCCCGCCACCGUGGUUGUCGUCGGAUCUGUCUUGGGUAAGUUUUUCGUUAUCAUUGGAGUUUCACUGGAUUUGGUAGUUUUUGGUAAGAUUGAAGUUUUGGGUAGAAGAUUAGGCCCCAUUAAGUUUGGAAUGAAAGUUAAUUUAUUCGAAUUAUUUUUUGCGGGAAACUAUUGGAGUGGCUGUCAAGCGAAUUCGAGAUCGUUUUCGACAAGUUUUGUUUGAGUUUGGGAGCGAGUUCGGCUUAAACUUCAGCUUUGGAACUUUGAUCCAAGAUUAUUCCAUUCUAAGGAGAAGAUAAACUUGUUAGUUAUUUUGGGCUUAAGUCUGAGGUUGAUCCCAUUAACAACACUGAAUACAAGGUAAUGAAUGGAGACAAAUAAUUCAUAGUGAAGCUAAACUUGGGAUCUUGUAAUUGUUGGGUAUGAGAUCUUGAGGAAAUUUCAUAUGCACAUGCAUUUGUUGUUCUUUGGAUGCUUUAUUUGGAUACUUAUUCUUACAUAUCUUAGUGUUAUUAUUCAAGAACAUUCUUAGCAACAUAUAAAUAUUGUGUUCGACCUAUCGAAAUUCAUUUAUAUUAGAGGGUAGAAGAUGAUGUCAUGAAAGCAUUACGCCUUCUAUUGUUAAACAUCAAGCUAGAAGACUUAGAAAACAAAAGAUUCUAUUUAUAGGUGAAUUUAAAAGAAAAUAUAGACGUUGUAAUCGCAAAGGUCACAAUAGUAGGACUUGAAAAUUUGAACCAAUUAAUAAUGAUGUAAUAUAUUGGCUUUUUUUUUUUUUUUUACAUGUAUUGACAAAUGGAUUGAUAUUAGAGUUUUUGGAAGUUAUUUUUUGGUUUUAUUCUGUUCUUGAGUUGUAAAUAAAUGUAAUAGUAUCUUUACUUUUUAAUGGAACAAACUAACUGUCCGUGAUAAACACUGAUAGAUGGACAUCUGUGUCUAUCACUAAUAGACAUUGAUAGAUAAUGAUAGUUGUCUAUCACAAUCUAUCAGUAAAUAGACAUAGAUAGACAACUAUCAGUGUCUAUUAUUGUGUACAUAGACUAUGACAUGUACCUUUGAACAUAUCACUGUGUAUAUAAAUUGUGAAUUAUGAGCAACUAUCACUAUGAACUAUUAGUGUCUAUUGCAAACAAGGGGUAGUUGAACUUCUACAAGCAAGAGGUAGGUAGAGGUAGAGGUAAAAGUUGAUAAUAUACCUUAUUUCAUAUAAAGAGGUUGAUAAUCAACCUUAUUUGAUACCUAUAAACAAAAUCAAAAAAUAAAUAAGUAAAGGCUCGAUGUUUUCUUUUUGGUGGUAGAUCGAUUAAUUGGGUAGCUUUGGUUGUCAAUAAGCCAGGAACAACAAUGAUAUACACCACAUGGUCAUUCUAUUGAUGCUAAAGUUCCAAUAAUAGAUAGUGAUAGUUGUCUAUCACUAUCUAUCAGUGAUAGACAUUAAUAAAAUAUUAUCAAUCAAUGUUUAUUAUUGAUAGUAGUCUAUAGUAGAUAGAUACAGAAAGAGAUGUCCAAUUUCC